rnacentral:rRNA from 1 species
GACGAACGCUGGCGGCGUGCUUAACACAUGCAAGUCGAACGGAAAGGCCCUGCUUUUGUGGGGUGCUCGAGUGGCGAACGGGUGAGUAACACGUGAGUAACCUGCCCUUGACUUUGGGAUAACUUCAGGAAACUGGGGCUAAUACCGGAUAGGAGCUCCUGCUGCAUGGUGGGGGUUGGAAAGUUUCGGCGGUUGGGGAAGGACUCGCGGCUUAUCAGCUUGUUGGGGGGGUAGUGGCUUACCAAGGCUUUGACGGGUAGCCGGCCUGAGAGGGUGACCGGCCACUCUGGGCCUGAGCUACGGCCCAGACUACUACGGGAGGCAGCAGUGGCGAAUAUUGCACAAAGGGCGGAAGCCUGAUGCAGCAACGCCGCGUGCGGGAUGACGGCCUUCGGGUUGUAAACCGCUUUCGCUUGUGACGAAGCGUGAGUGACGGUAAUGGGUAAAGAAGCACCGGCUAACUACGUG